AUUGAACGCUGGCGGCAGGCCUAACACAUGCAAGUCGAACGAGUGGCGGACGGGUGAGUAAUGUCUGGGAAACUGCCCGAUGGAGGGGGAUAACUACUGGAAACGGUAGCUAAUACCGCCUACCUUCAAAUGUGCCCAGAUGGGAUUAGCUUGUUGGUGGGGUAACGGCUCACCAAGGCGACGAUCCCUAUCUGGUCUGAGAGGAGGACCAGCCACACUGGAACUGAGACACGGGCCAGACUCCUACGGGAGGCAGCAGUGGGGAAUAUUGCACAAUGGGCGCAAGCCUGAUGCAGCCAUGCCGCGUGUAUGAAGAAGGCCUUAGGGUUGUAAAGUACUUUCAGCGGGGAGGCGUUACCCGCAGAAGAAGCACCGGCUAACUCCGUGCCAGCAGCCGCGGUAAUAC
rnacentral:rRNA from 1 species